GUGUUGAGCUGGGCUAGGCUAAGCUGGGCUGGGCUGAGCUGAGCUGGGCUGAGCUGAGCUGGGCUGGGUUGGACUGGGCUGAGCUGGGCUGUGUUGGGCUGGGCUGACCUGAGCUGUUCUGAGCUAGGCUGUCCUGGGCUAGGCUGAGCUGGGCUGACAUGGGCUGACAUGGGCUGAGCUGGGCUGGGCUGAGCUUUACUGAGCUGGCCUAGGCUGGGUUGACCUGGGCUGAGCUGGACUAAGCUAGGUUGACUUGGGCUGGACUGGGCUGGACUGAGGUGGACUGAGCUGGGCUGGGCUGAGCUGGGCUGAGCUGGGCUGAGCUGGGUUGGGCUGGGCUAGGGUGAGCUGGGCUGAGCUGGGCUGGGCUGGGCUGAGCUGGGUUGGGCUGGGAUGGACUGAGCUGGACUGAGCUGGACUGGCCUGGGCUGGGCUGGAUGGGCUGAGGUGGCUGCUCAUGUGGGAAAGAGGCCGUGGGUUGAGUGUGCCUCCACCUGCAGAGCCCUGAGCCCAGCUGUGUUCUUAGGGAUUCUGAGGGCCACGCAGCUCUGUUGCACCACGAUUCUGUCUUCUCUCUUGCCCAUUGCCUGAAGGAAAUUUGGAGUGGGCUGGGCCCAGAGCUCCCCCGUGGAGCAGGCCCUGUCCUAGAGGGCCUGGCAGGGACGUGGCUUAGCCUGUUGGCCUGUGGUCCUGAGACCUCAUAGGCCACAGGGGUCCACUGUGGCUUGUUUGGGCCUGGGGUGGGGCUCAUGGAGUGGUGGGUGUUGGACUAAGACCCUGAACGGGUACUGGGGGGUGGGGUCACAGCCAAGCCGCCCCACCCCUAUGCCAUGCACACAGCACUCAGAGCCCAGGCCCCCUCCUCAGAGCCCCCACCAAAAUCCUCUCUAGGUGCAGAGGAGAAAGCAUCCCCGACCAGCCCCAAGGUCUUCCCGCUGAGCCUCGACAGCACCCAGCCAGAUGGGAACGUGGUCGUCGCCUGCCUGGUCCAGGGCUUCUUCCCCCAGGAGCCGCUCAGUGUGACCUGGAGUGAAAGCGGACAGAACGUGACUGCCACAAACUUCCCACCCAGUCAGGAUGCCUCCGGGGGCCUGUACACCACAAGCAGCCAGCUGACCCUACCGGCCACAGAGUGCCUGGUCGGCAAAUCCGUGACAUGCCACGUGAAGCACUACACGAAUCCCAGCCAGGAUGUGACUGUGCCCUGCAGAGCUCCCCCACCUCACCCAUGCUGCCAGCCCCGACUGUCGCUGCACCAACCAGCCCUCGAGGACCUGCUCUUAGGUUCAGAAGCGAACCUCACGUGCACACUGACCGGCCUGAGAGAUGCCUCAGAUGCCACAUUCACCUGGACGCCCUCAACUGGGAAGAACGCUGUUCAAGGACCACCUGAGCGUGACCUCUGUGGCUGCUACAGCGUGUCCAGUAUCCUGCCCGGCUGUGCCCAGCCAUGGAAUAAUAGGGAGACCUUCACCUGCACUGCUGAGCACCCCGAGUUGAAGACCCCGCUAACCGCCAACAUCACAAAAUCCGGAAAAAACACGUUCCGGCCCGAGGUCCACCUGCUGCCGCCGCCGUCGGAGGAGCUGGCCCUGAACGAGCUGGUGACUCUGACGUGCCUGGCACGCGGCUUCAGCCCCAAGGACGUGCUGGUUCGCUGGCUGCAGGGGUCACAGGAGCUGCCCCGCGAGAAGUACCUGACUUGGGCAUCCCAGCAGGAGCCCAGCCAGGGCACCACCACCUUCGCUGUGACCAGCAUACUGCGCGUGGCAGCCGAGGACUGGAAGAAGGGGGACACCUUCUCCUGCGUGGUGGGCCACGAGGCCCUGCCGCUGGCCUUCACACAGAAGACCAUCGACCGCCUGGCGGGCUCUUGCUGUGUUGCAGAUUGGCAGAUGCUGCCUCCCUAUGUGGUGCUGGACUUGCCGCAGGAGACCCUGGAGGAGGAGACCCCCGGCGCCAACCUGUGGCCCACCACCAUCACCUUCCUCACCCUCUUCCUGCUGAGCCUGUUCUAUAGCACAGCACUGACCGUGACCAGCGUCCGGGGCCCAUCUGGCAAGAGGGAGGGCCCCCAGUACUGAGCGGGAGCCGGCAAGGCACAGGGAGGAAGUGUGGAGGAACCUCUUGGAGAAGCCAGCUAUGCUUGCCAGAACUCAGCCCUUUCAGAAGUCACGGACCCGCCCUUACUCACAUGCCUUCCAGGUGCAAUAAAGUGGUCCCAAGGAAAA